rnacentral:rRNA from 1 species
GAGGAAUAUUGGUCAAUGGGCGAGAGCCUGAACCAGCCAAGUCGCGUGAAGGAUGACUGUCUUAUGGAUUGUAAACUUCUUUUAUACGGGAAUAACAAGAGCCACGUGUGGCUCCCUGCAUGUACCGUAUGAAUAAGCAUCGGCUAACUCCGUGCCAGCAGCCGCGGUAAUACGGAGGAUGCGAGCGUUAUCCGGAUUUAUUGGGUUUAAAGGGUGCGUAGGCGGCCUGUUAAGUCAGCGGUGAAAUCUAGGAGCUUAACUCCUAAAUUGCCAUUGAUACUGGCGGGCUUGAGUGUAGAUGAGGUAGGCGGAAUGCGUGGUGUAGCGGUGGAAUGCAUAGAUAUCACGCAGAACUCCGAUUGCGAAGGCAGCUUACUAAGGUACAACUGACGCUGAAGCACGAAAGCGUGGGUAUCAAACAGGAUUAGAUACCCUGGUAGUCCACGCAGUAAACGAUGAUAACUGGGCGUAUGCGAUAUACAGUAUGCUCCUAAGCGAAAGCGUUAAGUUAUCCACCUGGGGAGUACGCCGGCAACGGUG